UUUCUAGUAGUUUACGUCCUCGCGUUUUUUCAGCAGGGAAGCUUUGGGCUGCCUACCGAGUGAAACCUAAAAUUAAUUGGUCCUCAUGUAAAUACAAACAACAAUUGUUCACGACGUUUUUGGAUGAAAAUGUAUAAUGUCUUGAAAGAAUGAGGGUUUGCUUGUUCGGUCCAACGGAAAAAAAUAUACAAUUGAGAUUUUUGGUAAAAAUGGGGAAGCGUUAAUUCCAUGAGGGAAAAUUCACUAAAACUCUUUACGCCUCUUUGGUGAAACAGGACUUAAUUGGACGUAUUUCUAUCAAACAGAACUAUGUGGAGGUGAGAAAUAUGGGGUGUACUCGUCAAAACUGCCUAAGAAACAAUGUAAAAGAGGGCGUGAUUCCUUUUGAAGAAUUGGAAAAGCGGGAUAUUACAUUCUAUCAAAGAGACCUAUGUGCCAACUGAAUGCGGGAUUCAUGAGCCGCGGGCAUGGCAAGAGAGCGUUGUGGACAAGGCUUAUGAGUUAAAGAGUCCCGACGACGAUCCCUCCGUCGAGCCUUCGCUUUUUCAUUGCCGCUGACGUCACUGGCGCUUUAUUAUUCUCAUUCACUCUUACGGCCAGAGAACUAACGAGCACACCCCAUAUUUCUCACCUCAGCAUAGGUCUGUUUGGUAGAAAUACAUCCAUUUAUUCGUUCUAUUUGAUUAUUUUGAAAGCGGCAUCUGCCACCCGCGACCUGCCACUAUCCGCGACUCGCUAAUUUCCCUGCUUUUAUACUCCUGCCGUAUAUUUCUAUCGGAAACGUCUCCUGUAACCUUUUACAUCUUUCGGCAAAAUACAUAAUGUUCGAAAUAACGUUGGAGCAAUCUUAACGUUUAUCUUCGUGGUUAAAUAUAAGGGAAUAUAAAAUUCAGGUAACCCAAGUAGCAUUGUCAUUUACUUUCUGGGUGACGCUCAUCAAGAAAAUGUCUACUUUCUAGAUAGAACAAUUAUCUUGAAAGAAAAUAGGUAUAAAGUAGAUCUAGAAAAUAGACACAAGAAAAUAGAAAGAAAAUACAUUUUUCCUUCGCAUUUUCUUAAAAGAAAACAUUAAGAAAUUGGCUAGAAAAUAAUUCUACUUUCAAUAAAUUUUCUAUCUUUUUUCCAAAUGGAAAGUUGACAGAAAGUAGACCUAUGAAAUCGAUCUAUUUCUUUUGGUCAGACUUUUAACUCGCAAAGUUUUUUCUUUCUAUUUUCUGGGUAUCUCUCAUUUUCUUUGUUUUUUAUAGAAAUUUUCUAAAUAUUUUUUUUCUAGAAAAAACUUCCAUUUUGCUACUUGGGAAGAUAAAUAGCUCUCCAUAGGAGUGUCCAUAAAUUACGUUACGCACUUUUUCGGCAUUUUGACCCUUCUCCCUUCCAACGCUUCGUAACGCAUCCCCAGACUCCCCUUAAUAAUUACGAAACAAUUGACGGACCCCCCCCCCCCCCUUGAUCUCAAAAAUUGUGGGGAACUGUUGAACAUAUAGCUAGAUAGAUAAAAUAAGUAUUUUUGAUGAUGGUGUGACAAGAAAUGUCGAAGGAAUGAGUACGGUAUAAUUUGGAUUUUUUGCGUUUUUUAAAAUUAAAGAGGGUUACGUAACGCAUGCGCUGACUCCCUCUCCCUCUCUUGUAACGCAGCGUAACGCGGGCUCAUGCCUCCCCUCCCCUACAGCGUAACGUUAUUGAUGAACGAUUCCCUUCCAUAAAAUCGCAGGUAAAACUCACCGUUAUCACUUUGAGUCACUUGUUGAUAUUCCCCGGGUAACUCCUCUGGCUGUCGAUAUCCUACACUCACGGAAAAUCUCGACAUUCACUGGUCAACGGAUUUAUAGAUAACGUGACACGGAAACUCACUCCUUUGUGAGCAAAAAUUUGGAUUGCGAAACGAAUUUCCCCCAACUGAGACACAAAUCGAUGAUUUAGUAUUCUGUCUAGUCGGGAAAUCGUUACGACAAAAUUAAUUUCCCACGAAGUUGGCGACCACCGUUUGGACAGACAUCCACCGACACACUAAUCUUGUUUAUCGAAUAAUUGUAUGCACAUUUUCACGAGAGACCCGGGAACGGAAAAUAGAGAAAACUGCGGACAAUGGGGAAUGGAAGGAGGAGCUAGGAGGAUGAUCAAGUGCAUGAGAUAGUCAUAUUUGAAUG
rnacentral:lncRNA from 1 species